GACGAACGCUGGCGGCGUGCUUAACACAUGCAAGUCGAGCGGAAAGGCCCUUCGGGGUACUCGAGCGGCGAACGGGUGAGUAACACGUGAGUAAUCUGCCCUUGGCUUUGGGAUAACUACCGGAAACGGUGGCUAAUACCGGAUACGACGACCGUCUGCAUGGGCUGGUUGUGGAAAGUUUUUUCGGCCAGGGAUGUGCUCGCGGCCUAUCAGCUUGUUGGUGGGGUAAUGGCCUACCAAGGCUUCGACGGGUAGCCGGCCUGAGAGGGUGACCGGCCACACUGGGACUGAGACACGGCCCAGACUCCUACGGGAGGCAGCAGUGGGGAAUAUUGGACAAUGGGCGGAAGCCUGAUCCAGCAACGCCGCGUGAGGGAUGACGGCCUUCGGGUUGUAAACCUCUUUCAGUACCGACGAAGCGCCGAUGAUGGUGGUGACGGUAGGUACAGAAGAAGCACCGGCCAACUACGUG
rnacentral:rRNA from 1 species